GAUGAACGCUAGCUACAGGCUUAACACAUGCAAGUCGCGGGGCAGCAUGGGGGUUGCUUGCAAUCCCCGAUGGCGACCGGCGCACGGGUGAGUAACGCGUAUCCAACCUGCCCUUCACCACGGGAUAACCCGGCGAAAGUCGGACUAAUACCGUAUGUUGUCCAUUGACGGCAUCCGAUUUGGACGAAAGGUUUGGCGGUGAAGGAGGGGGAUGCGUCCGAUUAGCUGGACGGCGGGGGGACGGCCCACCGUGGCGACGAUCGGUAGGGGUUCUGAGAGGAAGGUCCCCCACACUGGAACUGAGACACGGUCCAGACUCCUACGGGAGGCAGCAGUGAGGAAUAUUGGUCAAUGGGCGUAAGCCUGAACCAGCUAAGUAGCGUGCAGGAUGACGGCCCUAUGGGUUGUAAACUGCUUUUAUGCGGGGAUAAAGUGGCCCACGUGUGGGUUUUUGCAGGUACCGCAUGAAUAAGGACCGGCUAAUUCCGUG
rnacentral:rRNA from 1 species